UCGGCCUAUAGAAACUCAAUACAACUUUCAGCAACGGAUCUCUUGGCUCUCGCAUCGAUGAAGAACGCAGCGAAAUGCGAUAAGUAAUGUGAAUUGCAGAAUUCAGUGAAUCAUCGAAUCUUUGAACGCACCUUGCGCUCCUUGGUAUUCCGAGGAGCAU
rnacentral:rRNA from 1 species